rnacentral:misc_RNA from 1 species
ACAAACUUGGUCAUUUAGAGGAAGUAAAAGUCGUAACAAGGUCUCCGUAGGUGAACCUGCGGAGGGAUCAUCAAAGAAUAAUAUAUUAUACUUUUAACAAGGGGGGAUUUGUUUGUCAAGACAAGCAUAUCCCCCCUUGUUAAAAGAAACAAACAACUAUAUACAUGACUAGGAAAAGAAAGGGAAAAAGGGGGGGAGGAGGAGGAUAAGUUCUUGACUGAUAAGAAACUUGAUUUGGUGGAAACAGAAAGAUAACUUUCAACAACGGAUCUCUUGGCUCUCACAUCGAUGAAGAACGCAGC